CAGAUCGUCAAUUAAGGUCCCAAAGAUAUAGCUAAGUGGGAAACGAUGUGAAAUUGCGUAAACAACCAGGAUGUUGGCUUAGAAGCAGCCAUACAUUUAAAGAGUGCGUAAUAGCUCACUGGUCGAGUGAAUUUGCGCGGAAAAUUACCGGGGCUAAGCUAUACACCGAAAUUGCGGAUACAGUACAUUUAACAGUGUAUGUUAAGUGGAGAAGCAAGAAGAAAGAUAAAGAAGAAAGAAACUAACUAACAUAUAAUGUUAAGUGUACUGUGUGGUAGAGGAGCAUUCUAUAGUAGGAAGAAGUAUGAUCGAAAGGACAUAUGGACGAGAUAGAAGAGAGAAUGCCGGAAUAAGUAGCGAGAGCAAAGUGAGAAUCUUUGCCGUCGAAAGUCUAAGGUUUCCUGGGGAAGGUUCGUCCGCCCAGGGUAAGUCGGGACCUAAGGUGAGGCUGAAAAGCGUAGCCGAUGGACAGCAGGUAUAAAAUUCCUGCACUACCGAAUACUUAAAAGAUUCAAAUGACACAGUAGAGGAAGGGAAUCCAGGAAGAGGAAAAACUGGAGCCGAAAGGCAUAGUGAAAAUAUAAAGUAAUGAAGUCCCAAGAAUCACACUGGCGAGAAAAGUUUGAAGAUAUUGUAUAAGGUACCCGUACCGCAAACCGACACAGGUAGAUGAGGAGAGGAUCCUAAGACGAGCGAGAGAAGUAUUGUUAAGGAACUCGGCAAACUAACCCCGUAACUUAGGGAGAAGGGGUACCAUAGUAACAUAUGGUCGCAGAGAAGAGUCCCAAGCAACUGUUUAACAAAAACACAGGUUUCUGCUAAAUCGAAAGAUGAAGUAUAGGAGCUGACGCCUGCCCAGUGCUGGAAGGUUAAGGGGAAGGGUUAGGAGUAAUCCGAAGCCUAGAACUAAAGCCCCAGUGAACGGCGGCCGUAACUAUAACGGUCCUAAGGUAGCGAAAUUCCUUGUCAGGUAAGUUCUGACCCGCACGAAAGGCGUAAUGAUUUGGGAGCUGUCUCAACAAUAUACUCGGCGAAAUUGUAGUACUAGUGAAGAUGCUAGUUACCUGCGACAAGACAGAAAGACCCCAUGGAGCUUUACUGUAGCUUGAUAUUGGGUUUCGGUAAUUUAUGUACAGGAUAGGUGGGAGACUGAGAAGUUCUGGCGUCAGCUAGAAUGGAGUCACCCUUGGGAUACCACCCUUAAGUUAUUGAAAUUCUAACCUGUGAUCAUAAACUGGUCAGGGGACAAUGUCAGGCGGGCAGUUUGACUGGGGCGGUCGCCUCCUAAAGAGUAACGGAGGCGCCCAAAGGUUCCCUCAGCACGGACAGAAAUCGUGCAAAAGAGUGCAAAGGCAGAAGGGAGCUUAACUGAAAGACAGACAUGUCGAGCAGAUACGAAAGUAGGGCUUAGUGAUCCGGCGGUAGUGAGUGGAAAUGCCGUCGCUCAACGGACAAAAGUUACCCUGGGGAUAACAGGCUUAUCUCCCCCAAGAGUUCACAUCGACGGGGAGGUUUGGCACCUCGAUGUCGGCUCAUCGCAUCCUGGAGCGGAAGUACGUUCCAAGGGUUGGGCUGUUCGCCCAUUAAAGCGGUACGCGAGCUGGGUUCAGAACGUCGUGAGACAGUUCGGUCCUUAUCUGUCGCAGGCGCAGGAUAUUUGAAGGGAUCUGUCCUUAGUACGAGAGGACCAGGAUGGACGCACCAAUGGUACAACAGUUGUCAUACCAAUGGCAUAGCUGUGAAGCUAAGUGCGGAAGGGAUAAACGCUGAAAGCAUCUAAGUGUGAAGCCCACCCUAAGAUAAGAUAUCCCAUACCGUAAGGUAGU
rnacentral:rRNA from 1 species